rnacentral:rRNA from 1 species
UACGUAGGGUGCAAGCGUUGUCCGGAAUUAUUGGGCGUAAAGAGCUCGUAGGCGGUGUGUCGCGUCGGCCGUGAAAACCUGCAGCUUAACUGUGGGCUUGCGGUCGAUACGGGCAUCACUGGAGUUCGGCAGGGGAGACUGGAAUUCCUGGUGUAGCGGUGAAAUGCGCAGAGUAUCAGAAGAACACCAAUGGCGAAAGGCAGCUCUCUGGGACGGUACUGA